UCCAGGAGGGAGUGUGGCUGCUGCUUGUGCCUGUAUCCAGUGACUAGAACACAGCCUUUCCCUGCCCCCUUGUCAGAGGAGACUUCUGCACAAUGUCAGGACAACCACCUGUGUUUAACAGCAGCUGUGAAGAAUUAAUACCUCUCUGCCCUUUCUCCCUCGUCUUUGAAGGCCAGUGCAGUGCUAUGACUGACAUCCCAAGUGCUUGGGAGGUGUGAGAAGACCACUUCAGCAGAAGCUUGAGCUGUUGAAAAGUUUCAUUUUCCAAGCAAGAAGCCUUUGUUCAGCCAUCCUUAAACGCCCCCUGAAGAGUGAUGCAGACAGCCAUUCCAGUUCCAUCUCUUCAGGUUUUCUACCUCAACCACCAGCCUGAAGUAAAGUCAUCACAUGGAUGGAAGAAAAAGUGAUACACUGUCUCAGGGGCAUGUAGCAGAAAGCAGUUGCUGUUUUCUUCUUCAUCUGGAGACUGAAGAAUUUUCUCGGGGUUGUAUUCAGUUGGCCACUGAUCCAUCCAUCUAGGUUGCAGAAGUCUUGCUUACAUCCCAGGCCAUCUUUGCACUGGUAGAUCAUGCUAGCAGAAACCACAGGGAUGGACUACAUUUUAAUUUGUAAUAAGUCUUGAAACCAGUCAGAUGGCCAAAGUUGCAGAAUCAAUUUUAUAUACUUGUCAGAUAAUGAAAACCUUUUGUCUAACAUGUAGAACACCAGACAACCUAUAUUUUUAACAGCUUUCACAGUGCUAAAGAGAAUUCUAUUAAAUUCCUUGUAAUGUUACUAGUUUGGAAAACAUUAUCAUGGGCAGGGAAUGUUUAGAAAUCCAGGAACAUUCCUAUAAGGGAGAGCAGGAUUACCUAACAAUCAUGCACAUAUAUCCCCCUUCUUCCCACCUAAUUCCACAAACUAUCAGUUCCUCAACUCUGACUUUGCAUGGCACAUUAUACCCUUAGCUAACAGUCAUGUGGGGAGGAGGUAGCCAGUGGGAUUUAAUAUCCAGUGAGGCUCUGGUUCAUUAUACCUUCGGACACAUGUUGUGGGGAUUGACCCUCGGGUCCAGUUGCAGGUAUCUCUGGAAGCAGUUGUUUGUAUAAUAGCUGCUAUCUCAUCUGAUAUACCAAUACCUUUACAGCUAAUAUAUGGUUGCCUUUAACCUGCACCACUGGGGCUGUGAUCCUCAAAUUAUUUGUGCAUCCAGCACUGAAGAGAGAGCAUAACAUACUGACAGGGAAGCUGAAUUUGUUGGUGUAAGAUGUAGAUUUGUAUUAGAAAAAUACUAGGACAAAAGCUAAACAAAAAUGAACAUGACAGUUAAAUGCUUGUGAAAGGUUAGCUAGUUUUCACCUUCUUUGGGGUCAGGGGUUAACAUUCAGCUUUCUAGCUUCCACUGGAUAUUAGGCUUUAAGCUGAUUGGUAGGCACUUCCGCCUCAUUUUCAGCAGUCUCCAUCACCAUAACGCAAGGUAUUUUGAAAUUAGCUUCAGGCUCACUUGAAAUUCAAAUUCUGAACACUGGUUUUCUCAAUCCCUUUCUCUGCAAAGGCAUUAGAACUUCUGCCAAUCAGUAGUCCAUAACAAGGGAAGCAGUAGCAGAAGGCGCUGAGGUGAAAAUGGGUGUCUUGUAUGAAUCUAUAGAUCUUUUGAUCUAUCACAAAAGUGCUCUCAAGCCAGCCCUGCCUGUCCCUCUCCACCCCCUAACCUUAGGGAUGACAGCUCCUGCCUCCAGUGCACAUUCUCUUCAGGUCCCAAAUCUUCAGGUCCCAAACGCUCCAAACUGUACUUACCCACCUCCACCCACAGCUGAGCCCUGGUUCUUUACUUUCUCCUCCCUAUCCCUUCUUUCAGAAUACAUCCUCCUUCUGCUGAAAAGAGCCAUUUGACCACAAGCAUGCAGGCAUCAUGGGCUGAGGAUAAUCCACAAGCCACCCUGCUUGUUAUCACUGUCCUCUUAGUCUAAGAUUAGUCUACACCUCCACAAGAGAUGGUGCACCAUUUUGUGGCAGAGGACCCA